UACGUAGGGUGCGAGCGUUGUCCGGAUUUAUUGGGCGUAAAGAGCUCGUAGGCGGUCUGUCGCGUCGGCUGUGAAAUCCCGAGGCUCAACCUCGGGUCUGCAGUCGAUACGGGCAAACUUGAGUGUUGCAGGGGAGACUGGAAUUCCUGGUGUAGCGGUGAAAUGCGCAGAUAUCAGGAGGAACACCGGUGGCGAAGGCGGGUCUCUGGGCAACAACUGACGCUGAGGAGCGAAAGCGUGGGGAGCGAACAGG
rnacentral:rRNA from 1 species